UACGAAGGGGGCUAGCGUUGCUCGGAAUCACUGGGCGUCAAGGGUGCGUAGGCGGAUUGCUAAGUCAGGGGUGAAAUCCUGGAGCUCAACUCCAGAACUGCCCUUGAUACUGGCGGUCUCGAGUCCGGGAGAGGUGAGUGGAACUGCGAGUGUAGAGGUGAAAUUCGUAGAUAUUCGCAAGAACACCAGUGGCGAAGGCGGCUCACUGGCCCGGUACUGACGCUGAGGUGCGAAAGCGUGGGGAGCAAACGGG
rnacentral:rRNA from 1 species